rnacentral:hammerhead_ribozyme from 1 species
GCACUGCUGAGGAGUCCCACAAUAGGACGAAUGGCCGUCCAGUGC